AAUCAACGCUGGCGGCGUGCCUAACACAUGCAAGUCGAACGCGAAAGGGGACUUCGGUUCCUGAGUAGAGUGGCGUACGGGUGAGUAACGCGUGGGUCAUCUGCCCUCGGGUGGGGAAUAACUAAUCGAAAGGUUAGCUAAUACCGCAUAACACAGUGAUGUCAAAGCAGCAAUGUGCCUGAGGAGGAGCCUGCGUCUGAUUAGGUAGUUGGUGGGGUAACGGCCUACCAAGCCUGCGAUCAGUAGCUGGUCUGAGAGGAUGAUCAGCCACACUGGGACUGAGACACGGCCCAGACUCCUACGGGAGGCAGCAGUGGGGAGUAUUGGACAAUGGGGGCAACCCUGAUCCAGCAAUGCCGCGUGAGUGAUGAAGGCCUUAGGG
rnacentral:rRNA from 1 species